rnacentral:tRNA from 1 species
GGAUAUAGCUCAGUUGGUAGAGUGCUUGCCUCACUUGUACAAGGCCCUGGGUUCAAUUCCCAGAACCA